rnacentral:rRNA from 1 species
UGAGUGAAGAAGGCCCUCGGGUUGUAAAGCUCUUUUGUCCGGAAAGAAAAGCUUUCGGUUAAUACCCGGAAGUCCUGACGGUACCGGAAGAAUAAGCACCGGCUAACUUCGUGCCAGCAGCCGCGGUAAUACGAAGGGUGCAAGCGUUACUCGGAAUUACUGGGCGUAAGGCGUGCGCAGGUGGUUCGUUAAGUCUGAUGUGAAAGCCCUGGGCUCAACCUGGGAAUUGCAUUGGAUACUGGCGGGCUAGAGUGCGGUAGAGGAUGGCGGAAUUCCCGGUGUAGCAGUGAAAUGCGUAGAGAUCGGGAGGAACAUCCGUGGCGAAGGCGGCCAUCUGGACCAGCACUGACACUGAGGCACGAAAGCGUGGGGAGCAAACAGGAUUAGAUACCCUGGUAGUCCACGCCCUAAACGA